GGCCAAGUCCCGUGCGAUUGUACCAAGCCCAAUCCCGCCAGGUCCGGAAGGAAGCAACGGUCAGCAUGCGUACAAGGCGCCACGGUCAACUUGGCUGUA
rnacentral:SRP_RNA from 2 species